AGCUGGUGGUUGCAUUUACUCUGGAGCAAACAGGCAGUGUGUUUCGACAAUCCAUUUUUUUCUGUCAAACUAUAACGCUAUAAUUGCUUGGGUUGUUCUGUUCCAAUAUGCCCAGGGGAUAACUGGAGACUUGGGAUUUGGUUGUUGUUGCGUUGACUGACACAUCAAACUCCAUCUCCACUGUCUGGAUCUGAAUACUCCGAAGGGUUUUAUUAUUUGCUGCAGGCAGAGAAUAGUUCAGUGGGGUUGUUGUAAUUUGUAUUCCCGCCCUCCCUGGCCUCUCCAGGAGAAUGGGGAGAUGAGUCUAGUCGUGCAUUUUGUAUGCCUUGAGUUGUAGGUCCUCCAGUGUGGGUGCCAGAUGAAGCCUGCAAUCGCUGCUCAGCCUGCGAGACUCUGUUCACCCUCCUGCGGAGACGACACCACUGCAGGAGCUGCGGCAAGAUCUUCUGUGCCCGCUGUUCACCCCAUGAGACCCCUAUCCCUCGCUUCGGACAGUUGAGAGCAGUCCGGGUCUGCAGCCACUGCUUUACGUCCCACAUCGGCAGGGAAACCACGCAGCUUUAAUGAAGAAAAGAAAGCAAAUGUUCUGAUAAACCAAACCAUUUAAACUGGGUUUAAACACAAACAAUACUGAAGCAGUCCGCUGCUGAAAUCCAAGCCUGUUUUUACUGGCUUUAUUUUUUUUUUUGUUUACACUGAAAAUGAAAAUACUCGUGUAAAAUAAAAGAACAUAUAUUGUAA